rnacentral:rRNA from 1 species
CCUACGGGACGCAGCAGUGGGGAAUAUUGCACAAUGGGCGCAAGCCUGAUGCAGCCAUGCCGCGUGUAUGAAGAAGGCCUUCGGGUUGUAAAGUACUUUCAGCGGGGAGGAAGGUGUUGAGGUUAAUAACCUCAGCAAUUGAUGUUACCCGCAGAAGAGGCACCGGCUAACUCCGUGCCAGCAGCCGCGGUAAUACGGAGGGUGCAAGCGUUAAUCGGAAUUACUGGGCGUAAAGCGCACGCAAGCGGUCUGUCAAGUCGGAUGUGAAAUCCCCGGGCUCAACCUGGGAACUGCAUUCGAAACUGGCAGGCUAGAGUCUUGUAGAGGGGGGUAGAAUUCCAGGUGUAGCGGUGAAAUGCGUAGAGAUCUGGAGGAAUACCGGUGGCGAAGGCGGCCCCCUGGACAAAGACUGACGCUCAGGUGCGAAAGCGUGGGGAGCAAACAGGAUUAGAUACCCCGGUAGUC